rnacentral:sRNA from 1 species
AUCCUAGAAACUAACCAAGCUUCUUCUUGCUUCUCAAAGCUUUGAUGGUGUAGCCGUAGUGCGUAUGAGUCUUUGGCUUUGUCUCUUCUAACAAGGAUACAAGGCUUUUAAGAUCUGGUUGCGGUUCUUGUUGUUAUACUCAAUGAUAAACAUGACAUCAAGUCAUAUUUGACUCCAAAUCACUAACCAACCUCCUUCUUGCUUCUCAAAGCUUUGUUGGUGUAGUCGUAGUCUAUAUGAGUCUUCGUCUUUGUCUCUU